rnacentral:rRNA from 1 species
GAGUNCAAGAGGGGAGAGUGGAAUUCCANGUGUAGCGGUGAAAUGCGUAGAUAUAUGGAGGAACACCGGUGGCGAAAGCGGCUCUCUGGCUUGUAACUGACGCUGAGGCUCGAAAGCGUGGGGAGCAANCAGGAUUAGAUACCCUGGUAGUNCACGCCGUAAACGAUGAGUGCUAGGUGUUAGACCCUUUCCGGGGUUUAGUGCCGCAGCUAACGCAUUAAGCACUCCGCNUGGGGAGUACGACCGCAAGGUUGAAACUCAAAGGAAUUGACGGGGGCCCGCACAAGCGGUGGAGCAUGUGGUUUAAUUCGAAGCAACGCGAAGAACCUUACCAGGUCUUGACAUCCCUCUGACCGCUCUAGAGAUAGAGUUUUCCUUUGGGACAGAGGUGACAGGUGGUGCAUGGUUGUCGUCAGCUCGUGUCGUGAGAUGUUGGGUUAAGUCCUGCAACGAGCGCAACCCCUAUUGUUAGUUGCCAUCAUUCAGUUGGGCACUCUAGCGAGACUGCCGGUAAUAAACCGGAGGAAGGUGGGGAUGACGUCAAAUCAUCAUGCCCCUUAUGACCUGGGCUACACACGUGCUACAAUGGCUGGUACAACGAGUCGCAAGCCGGUGACGGCAAGCUAAUCUCUUAAAGCCAGUCUCAGUUCGGAUUGUAGGCUGCAACUCGCCUACAUGAAGUCGGAAUCGCUAGUAAUCGCGGAUCAGCACGCCGCGGUGAAUACGUUCCCGGGCCUUGUACACACCGCCCGUCACACCACGAGAGUUUGUAACACCCGAAGUCGGUGAGGUAACCUUUUAGGAGCCAGC